UCCGAGUUGACCCCGGCAGUUUUCUACGAGUCCCCGGCAUUACCCGCUGGCAACAUAGAAUAGGGUUGCGCUCGUUGCGGGACUUAACCCAACAUCUCACGACACGAGCUGACGACAGCCAUGCAGCACCUGUGUUGCGGUUCCCUUUCGGGCACCGAGGUAUCUCUACCCCGUUCCGCACAUGUCAAGGGUAGGUAAGGUUUUUCGCGUUGCAUCGAAUUAAUCCACAUAAUCCACCGCUUGUGCGGGUCCCCGUCAAUUCCUUUGAGUUUUAAUCUUGCGACCGUACUCCCCAGGCGGAGUGCUUAAUGCGUUAGCUGCGACACUGAAAGUUGCCUUCCAACAUCUAGCACUCAUCGUUUACAGCGUGGACUAC
rnacentral:misc_RNA from 1 species